AGCGAACGCUGGCGGCAGGCCUAACACAUGCAAGUCGAACGGACCUUUCGGGGUUAGUGGCGGACGGGUGAGUAACACGUGGGAACGUGCCUUUAGGUUCGGAAUAGCUCCUGGAAACGGGUGGUAAUGCCGAAUGUGCCCUUCGGGGGAAAGAUUUAUAGCCGUUGGAGCGGCCCGCGUCUGGUUAGCUAGUUGGUGAGGUAAUGGCUCACCAAGGCGACGAUCAGUAGCUGGGCGGAGAGGAUGACCACCAACAGUGGGACUGCGACACGGGCCAAACUACUCCGGGCGGCAGCAGUGGGGAAUCUUGCGCAAUGCGGGCAAGCGUGAGGCGGGCAUGCCGCUUGGAUGAUGAAGGUCUUAGGAUGGUAAAAUCCUUUCACCGGUGAAGAUAAUGACUGUAGCCGGAGAAGAAGCCCCGGCUAACUUCGUGCCAGCCGCCGCGGUAAUAC
rnacentral:rRNA from 1 species